rnacentral:rRNA from 1 species
GACGAACGCUGGCGGCGUGCUUAACACAUGCAAGUCGAACGGAAAGGCCCCGCUUUUGUGGGGUGCUCGAGUGGCGAACGGGUGAGUAACACGUGAGUAACCUGCCCUUGACUUUGGGAUAACUUCAGGAAACUGGGGCUAAUACCGGAUAGGAGCUCCUGCUGCAUGGUGGGGGUUGGAAAGUUUCGGCGGUUGGGAUGGACUCGCGGCUUAUCAGCUUGUUGGUGGGGUAGUGGCUUACCAAGGCUUUGACGGGUAGCCGGCCUGAGAGGGUGACCGGCCACAUUGGAACUGAGAUACGGCCCAGACUCCUACGGGAGGCAGCAGUGGGGAAUAUUGCACAAUGGGCGGAAGCCUGAUGCAGCAACGCCGCGUGCGGGAUGACGGCCUUCGGGUUGUAAACCGCUUUCGCCUGUGACGAAGCGUGAGUGACGGUAAUGGGUAAAGAAGCACCGGCUAACUACGUG